ACUUGCACUGACACCACCUACGUAACCUAUGAUUUUGAAAUGAAGAACAGAUCUUGUGAUGUCACUUGUGCAGUGUUUCCCACAAGCCAUAUCUCCCAUCCAUUGUUUUCAUACUUGGUUAUCUAAAUUAAAAACUUGGUGCGUGACAUAUAUGAUAUGUUAACAACUCUGUCUUUCUGCUCAAUUCCAACACCUGAAAGUGAUAAUAUUUUUUAUAAAGUCUUGUUUGAUGUGUGUUAUGUUCGUAUAUAUCAUAUUGCAGCACAAUCAAGUUUAUGAUAUUGACAUAAUUAAUAUUUCAACUGGUUUGUACAACUGUGUAAUAAUGUUGCUGAAAAAAUUGCUCAGUCCACCAGAACUCCAAACAUUCCAGUGUUUUUAUUUGUAAAUAAUCAAUUUUUCCCAGUUUACUGCAGGUUGUGUGCAUUCUCCCUCAAGGAAAUCAAGUUUUGUAGUAUUUUGUUAUUAUAUAUCAAUACUGUAUAUUUUUUUUAUUAAUGGAAUUGUAUAUUAGAAUUUACAGUCCAAUAUUUUUGAUAUAACAUUCCACUUUAACAAUAAAUUAGAAUGUAUUCAG
rnacentral:misc_RNA from 1 species